GCGCCCUUAGCUCAAUUGGAUAGAGCGUCUGACUACGGAUCAGAAGGUUGGGGAUUCGAGUUCUCUAGGGCGCACCA
rnacentral:tRNA from 1 species